AAAUAACCAAUUUGUUUACUUCCGUUUCCGUUUCCAACAUGGCAGCUUCGUGAAUUGCGAAUAAUUUUCAAAGUUUAUCGCUUGAUUCUCAGAGGGGAUAGAUUAUAAUAACAAAACUUUAUAGAAAAUGAGUAACGAAGAUGAUGUAGUUCUUGACUUUGGUGAAGAGGAAUUCGAUAAGAAUCGGAUUUUAAAACAUCCUGUGGCAGUGUUUUUCCACCUAUUUUUCCGGAUUGGAGCUCUAGUUGCAUAUUUGUUGUGUGGAUGUUUCAGUGACAGUUUUAUCACCAACUUUGUUGUUAUUGUUAUUCUAUUGUCCAUGGACUUUUGGACGGUUAAAAACAUUUCGGGUCGAUUACUGGUUGGUCUAAGAUGGUGGAAUUAUGUAGAUGAAGAGGGCAAUAGUAAAUGGAUGUUCGAAUCUCGUAAAAAUAGAAAAGGUACUGUAACUGCCACAGAAUCUCGGAUAUUCUGGUUGUCUCUAGUCCUGUGCCAAAUCUUAUGGAUAGUCUUCUUAUUUGGAACAAUAUUUACAUUAAAAUUCAAAUGGCUUAUGGUGGCUGUUAUUGGAGUGAUCAUGAAUGGGUCCAAUCUUCUAGGUUAUAUAAGAUGUAAAUGGGGAACCAAACAGAAUAUGACAUCACUUGCUAAGAAUUUCCUUAGUGCUCAAGUUCUUAAAUCAAUGUUUUCCAACAAGUCAACAACUUCCCCACAACAACAGACUUGAUAAAUUCGGACAUGAUGCAAUAAGUUUGGAUACAUUUUUGUGAUAUAUAUUGUAUAUAGUGUGGGAUGAACAAAAACUCUGGGUCAUUUAUUGGUAUUCUUAGGACAGUGCUGGGGCAGGCUGUGAUGAUUUGAUGAUGUGUGACACUGUAAGAUUUUAACAACAUGUACUGGUCAACAGCAUGUACAUGUAUGUAGAAAAUCUGCAAGUGGAGAUAGAUGAAUUCUUGCUGACUGUGUUUAACAAUUAUUUAUUUUGCAUAUAAUAUAAGUAUUAGGUUUUUUUUUCUUUAUGUAGACUACACUUUUAGAAUAUCCUAUAUAAAUUUUAAAAUAUCAAUAGCAUAAUUUAUGUUUCAAGGUAUGAGUGUUGUUUGUAUAAUUAAUUACAGUAAAGCUUUUCAUGCUGUUGAUGGUACGGUAUAUGGUAAUGAAUAUAAAAUCAGGCAAAGAAAAGUCCUUAUCAACAACAUCCACUCAAUCUCUAAUACCACUGUGGUAAUAUUGAAAUAGUGGCAUGGCCGAUUAGUUAAUGUGCUUGACUAAUGAUUGCUGGCCAUGAUUGCUCAAACCCUGUCAGGAAUAAACUGUUAUUUCCUUGAGCAAGAAACUUUACACUCAUUGCUUAGUACUGGUUGGUUCCGGGAACAGAUUGAAGAGUGUGGUACACAAACUAAAAUAAAUUCUAUAUUCUGAAUUUUUGAUUUGUUCAUGAUAUGUAAUGUAUAGUCUGUACAUAAUAUAUAUGAAGAUUACUUGUAUACUUAUUGGCAUGUUCAUCAAUGGAAUUUUGGGUCAUUUUUUACCAUAAAUGUAAAUUCUUAAGUUUGGAUAACAGAAUAGACUUGUACCAGAAAGACUUUACCAUUAUUUUGAUAAAAGUCUGGUUUAUAACAUUCCAUCAUCUUUUGAUCAUUUAAAUGUCCCAUAUUUUAUUUCUCUAUUGUGCUGAUGUUAGAAGGUAUUGGAUUCUUCAAUACAAUAUAUAUUCAAUAAAUAUUUCUUGUUUACAUCAUACUAUUUAUAUAGAUUUUAUUGCUUUAUUUUUAAGUUACUUGUAUACAUUGAAAAGCAUUAAUAGUUAUUACUUUGAUUAAGCUGUAAGGGAUAUAUAUGUACAUUGUUUAUGUACAUUGUACAUAUUUUAAUUGUUGUAUAACAUAAGAAGUCCAACAACAACAUUGUAUAAUUAUGACGGUUAUCAUUUAAUCUUUUUAUACAAUCAAUAGUUGUUGUAUAUUGAUGUCCAUUUAGGCACAAUUCAGAUUGAGAAUAUUUCUUUUAGAAACAAUAUAUAAUAAUACAUUAUCUUAGCAUAACUAAACCAGGUGUAAAUUACUCCCUGGUACAUUUAGUUACCCCUUUCCCCCUGGCAAAUAUCUUAAAUGGACUUGUCCAUUGUUAAUAUGGACAAAAACCUUUCUUUGUUUUGCAGCUGUUUAGGAGUCCAAUAGAAUAAGUAUUGUUCUAAACAAUGUAUAAUAACCACUUUAUUUCACACCACAGUUUUUUGAAACUUUGAAAAUACUGUUACUUUAUGUAAAAUAAGGAAUCAAUAUAAGUUUUUUAUAUAGUUCAGUGUGUAUAAAUUGUCUGAUCAUAUAUCUAAAUAAGUAACAAUAAUAUUAGGUAGUUUUAUCUAUGGUUUGUCAGAUUAUUUAUUGAGUUAUAAUACAUGUAUUAGGCCAGUGUUGUAAAGAAACCUCAUAGAAAGUAAUUCAGCAAAGACUUUUCAUGCUUCUUUUGUUGUUUGUUAUGGUUUUUUUUUGUUAAGAAGAUCAUAAUUGUCAUGUACUUUGUUUUUAUACUUUUUAAGAUCAUGGUACAAUACAUUAAAUUGGGAUGUAGGGUGAUCUAUUGAUUUGUAGAAUAGUAUGAAAUGUAUAAAAUUCUACCAGUACCCUGUUACAGCCUGUGAAAUACUUUGGGAAAUCCAUUUUGUUGUUUCGAAUUUGUGAUUUGAAUAUGUUAUCUUAACCUGCCUGAAGCUUGAUAUGUUAAAAAUGAAGAAUGGAGUUAUAAAGAAUAAAGAUUAAAUGAUAAAAUAAU